CCUACGGGGGGCAGCAGUGGGGAAUAUUGGACAAUGGGGGGAACCCUGAUCCAGCCAUGCCGCGUGUGUGAAGAAGGCCCUCGGGUUGUAAAGCACUUUCAGUGAGGAAGAACGCCUGGUGGUUAAUACCCAUCAGGAAAGACAUCACUCACAGAAGAAGCACCGGCUAACUCCGUGCCAGCAGCCGCGGUAAUACGGAGGGUGUGAGCGUUAAUCGGAAUUACUGGGCGUAAAGCGCGCGUAGGUGGCUUGAUAAGCCGGUUGUGAAAGCCCCGGGCUCAACCUGGGAACGGCAUCCGGAACUGCCAAGCUAGAGUGCAGGAGAGGAAGGUAGAAUUCCCGGUGUAGCGGUGAAAUGCGUAGAGAUCGGGAGGAAUACCAGUGGCGAAGGCGGCCUUCUGGACUGACACUGACACUGAGGUGCGAAAGCGUGGGUAGCAAACAGGAUUAGAUACCCGAGUAGUC
rnacentral:rRNA from 1 species